rnacentral:rRNA from 1 species
ACAUACGGCCAUAGACUCAAGAGAAGUGCGCAUCCCGUCCGCUCUGGCAUACGUAAACUUGAGAUCGGUGGAUUAGUAGCAGCGAAUACCCACUGUUGUAUGUU